AACACAGGCGUUACAGAGUGCUAGCUUCCUUUUUUUCGGCAAUAACCGAUUACAAUCUGGCAUCAUUCCAUCACUAAUAGUCAAAAUAAACUAUCUAGAAAUUUGGUCCAAGGCUUCCUCUAUGUCCGCAUGAAGAUGACAUGUUACCAUUCAAGCUGAUAAGAAAACAAUUUCUAAUGAGAUUAUGUUUCGCGAUGGCAAUCAAUAAAGCUUACGGAGAAACAAUUCCAAAUGUAGGUAUUUAUCUCCCAUAAUCGGUUUCACGCAUGGCCACCUUUACGUGGCAUUGUCUAGAGGGAUAUCACGUGUCAAUACAAAAGUAUUAGUGAACUCUGACGAACAGUUCAACGACAUGAAGUUUAUACAUCAAAUAUGGUCAACAAAGAGAAUAUCAUUACUCUGUAGGUAUUUAUCUUUAAGAAUCGUUUGGAGACAAGACCAUUUUAUUUGGAAAUGGCUUUAGACAAAUUCUUCUAGCAAUACAAAGAGGCAGUUGUUCGGAUAUCGUGCAUGCAUCAUAUUCAUCCAAAUAUCGACGUGAUGUAUAGUUUUACAUUUAACCGAAAACAUGAGAUUUAAUUUGGUUGUCUAACAAAUGAUUUGGAUGAGACAAAAGCAUUUGAUGAGUGGAUUCUUAAAAUUGAUGAAGGUAAUACCGGCGGCCCUAAUGAUGGUGAAACUGAAAUUGGAUUUCCAGAAGACGUUGUUGUUCGCUCUGUAGGUGACCAUAUUUAUUCAAUUGUAUCAACCAUUUAUCCAUCAUUUGAAAACCAUCUUGAUGAUCAAUCAUAUUUUCAAGAUAAAGCUAUUUUGGUCUCUACAAAUUUAGGAUUGAUGAAAGAUUAGAGGAAAACAUGUAUGAGUUUCAAAUUCUUUACGUGAUAUAGAGUUACCAGGUUUUUUUUUGAGGAAUCAAUGUACUCUUCAAUUAUGUUGAAUGAUUUUAAGGCAUCUAGAAUUUCCAACCAUAAACUUACACUAAAAAUAGGUGUUUCAUUCAUAUUACUUUGCAAUAUCGACCAAACCAAAGGACUAUGCAAUGGUACUAGAUUAUAGAUUGGUAGGCUUGGAAGAAACAUCAUUGAAGCCUAAAUCAUAUAUGCUAGAUUCUUUAUCGAGACUACUUAUAUACCUUGCAUGAAUUUAACUCCGUCUAAUAAAAGAAUCUCAUUUCGUUUUCAGCGGAGGCAAUUCCCCAUAGUAGUUUAUUUUAUUAUGGUCAUUAACAAAAGUCAAUGACAAUAAUUAUCAAAUGUUGGAUUAUACUUCCAUAAGCUCGUCUUCACUCAUUUUCAGUUAUAUAUUUUUUGUUUCUUGCAUCACAAGUGAAAAGAGAUUAAGGUACUCAUAUAUUACGAAAAAGUUUGUCCAACUAAUAAAACAAAAGAUUAUAUUUACAAAGAGGUCCUUCAACUAUUAUAAAUAUUCAAGUGUUUCUUGGUUUUUUUUUCAAACAUUCAAAUGUUAGCAAUAAUGCUAAGUCUGUGUAUGUUACUUUAUUUUUUUAUAGUGCCAACUUUUUUAUACCUUUACAUGUACAUUUUUAUAUGUUCCCUGCGUUUUACGCGGAUCAUAAUCUAGUUAUUUAAUUAUUUGCUAAUUUCUGAUUGGUGCCUUUAGAAACACAAUAGUUGCUAGAAACAUUUGAAUAUCUUUUUAUAUAUAUAUAUAUAUAUAUAUANNNNNNNNNNNNNNNNNNNNNNNNNNNNNNNNNNNNNNNNNNNNNNNNNNNNNNNNNNNNNNNNNNNNNNNNNNNNNNNNNNNNNNNNNNNNNNNNNNNNNNNNNNNNNNNNNNNNNNNNNNNNNNNNNNNNNNNNNNNNNNNNNNNNNNNNNNNNNNNNNNNNNNNNNNNNNNNNNNNNNNNNNNNNNNNNNNNNNNNNNNNNNNNNNNNNNNNNNNNNNNNNNNNNNNNNNNNNNNNNNNNNNNNNNNNNNNNNNNNNNNNNNNNNNNNNNNNNNNNNNNNNNNNNNNNNNNNNNNNNNNNNNNNNNNNNNNNNNNNNNNNNNNNNNNNNNNNNNNNNNNNNNNNNNNNNNNNNNNNNNNNNNNNNNNNNNNNNNNNNNNNNNNNNNNNNNNNNNNNNNNNNNNNNNNNNNNNNNNNNNNNNNNNNNNNNNNNNNNNNNNNNNNNNNNNUAUGUAUAUAAAAGGUUAUUAAUUAGUUAUUUAUAGUACAAAGUUCAAUCCAAUCCAAUUAGUUUGUUAAUCAGUAAAUUAUACUUCACAUUUCAAAAUUUGUUAAUCAUACUUCUGAGGCUGGUUAUCAAUGUCUCAGUUAAUCAUAUUUUAACACAAUCAACAAAAAAACAUAAAAAAUACUUAGCAUUUUAUCAUACUUCAAUACAAUCACAAUUAGCAAACAAAUGAUUAAGUAAUUUGACAGUUGAUCAUACUGUAGUACUUCAUGUUUGCAACACAAUUAGGAAGACAAUACAUAUAUGGUUUCAAUGGAAGUCAUCACAGACACAUAAUCACAUUUUUAUUUAAUGGAACGACACAAAAAUUUUGGUUUAGGCUAAGAAAAAACAGUUUUAUCUAUUGAAUGGCUCAAAACAUAUUUUUUUAUGUAAAAUCGCCUAAAAAUGGAAUUUAUUCAAAUAGCGGUUAUAGCGCCGCGCUAACGUUGAUCAUAAUCGCAGUAAAUCACGAUAAAUCGCAACGCUGAUAGCGUCACCGCUAUUCCAAACCACUAUUUUUAAAUAGUGUUUCUUUACCUCCGAUAACCUUUAUAACUGCGCUAUNNNNNNNNNNNNNNNNNNNNNNNNNNNNNNNNNNNNNNNNNNNNNNNNNNNNNNNNNNNNNNNNNNNNNNNNNNNNNNNNNNNNNNNNNNNNNNNNNNNNNNNNNNNNNNNNNNNNNNNNNNNNNNNNNNNNNNNNNNNNNNNNNNNNNNNNNNNNNNNNNNNNNNNNNNNNNNNNNNNNNNNNNNNNNNNNNNNNNNNNNNNNNNNNNNNNNNNNNNNNNNNNNNNNNNNNNNNNNNNNNNNNNNNNNNNNNNNNNNNNNNNNNNNNNNNNNNNNNNNNNNNNNNNNNNNNNNNNNNNNNNNNNNNNNNNNNNNNNNNNNNNNNNNNNNNNNNNNNNNNNNNNNNNNNNNNNNNNNNNNNNNNNNNNNNNNNNNNNNNNNNNNNNNNNNNNNNNNNNNNNNNNNNNNNNNNNNNNNNNNNNNNNNNNNNNNNNNNNNNNNNNNNNNNNNNNNNNNNNNNNNNNNNNNNNNNNNNNNNNNNNNNNNNNNNNNNNNNNNNNNNNNNNNNNNNNNNNNNNNNNNNNNNNNNNNNNNNNNNNNNNNNNNNNNNNNNNNNNNNNNNNNNNNNNNNNNNNNNNNNNNNNNNNNNNNNNNNNNNNNNNNNNNNNNNNNNNNNNNNNNNNNNNNNNNNNNNNNNNNNNNNNNNNNNNNNNGAAUUUUGAUUGGUCGAUAUAAUAGACAUAUUUAUAGAUAUUUUAUUAUUCAAAUAGAAAUUAUUUACUUUAGUAUACUUUCAGGCUUUCAAUAGUCCAUGGUAAUAUUUGAAUGUAUUAUUAUAUAAAAUUAAUAAACUAACAUGAUAUAUAUUUUUUUAAAUGAACAACUAAAAAAAAUUUUAAAAAAAUAUUAUAUAGAUGAUUGAAAGUAAAUAAUAGAUAAUUAACUUAACACCAAAUAAAAACCAAAAAACAACAUAUAUAUAUUACAAUAUUUAAUGAAUGUAUAUUAUAUCUAUAAACAAAAUAAAUAAACGUGACGACCCAAAUAGUAUAUUAUCUUAAUAAGUAUAGAGAUUUUUUUAUAUAAAAUUAUAAAAUCUAGAUAGAUAUAAUUAUACCUAAAGUCUUAUUUUUAGUAUUAGUUAUAACGUAAAAUCUUAAUAAGUAUAGAGAUUUUUUUUAUAUAAAAUUAUAAAAUCUAGAUAGAUAUAAUUAUACCUAAAAUAUUAUUUUUAGUAUUAGUUAUAACGUAAUUAGGUAGAGAGGUUUAGUGUUAACACUAUUUUUUAUAUUAUAAUUAUAGUUUUCAGUAUAAAAAAUAAUGUUAUGGGUUAGAUGCAUCCUUGUAAUAGUUCAUGCAGCCAUUUGCACUUAUGCAUCCCAUCAAUGACCCCAUAAUAGUUUUGUGCAAUUUUUUGUUACAUUUGGUGUUGUCUUUGUUUUUUUGUUCCUGUUAUUGUCGCGAUUUCUAUUUUGGUCAUCGAUUUAAGUGAAGAGUAGCUGAAAACCCCGAAACCAUAAGGGUACAUACAUAAUUUCAUUCUGCCUUUUAUAAAUAACUCAUUUAUACAAAAUCCAAUUAUUUGACACUGAAUUUUAAUAUAAUCAUACUAAACUGAUUACUGUGUAUUUCAUAUAAUAAUCACUUCCAAAGAAUAGAAACACAGUUUUUACCAUGUUGAGCUCAUUUCAAGAUCACAGGUAGAUUUUAGUUUCCUCCAUACAAGUAUAAAUCCAUUUUGUCUAAGAAUGAGAUCAGUGAAGAAUUUGUUUCUAUUAUGAAAUAGAUUUUUUCCAAAAUUAAAUGACAAUUUUAUGUGAAGUUGUUGCAAAGAAAUUUAAGAAAAUAUUUUUAGAAAAUUGAGAGGGGAAAGAUGAACCAUGUGAGCAAAACCUUCAGUAACAUCCAUAUUGGAAAAUAGUUAUAAAAUUUCAGUCAAAACUUGCAAUUCAAAAACUAAAUAAGAUCAAUGAGUUAAUGUCUCAUGAAAAUCAAGGAAAUCGAGUAGAAAUCCUGAUAGUUUGAGAAUAAAAUAAGUAGGAAAUGUUCUAAAGAGGCUCAGAUCUGUAAACGAUCGAACAAAGAGGAUAAAUCCGCCAUGGCUGCAAAACUUACUCGUUGCAAUGAAAAAGAAGACAGAGAUUCUUUCACAUAACCAUCCGAUUUGCCCUGCCAAGACGCGGAUAAUCUCAACUUUGCUCGAAUCCACUCAGAUACAUAGAAAUUCAUCAUCACAGCCUCAGAUAAUGAGUUAAGUUGAAUCAAGAACAAAAGCUCAGAUUACCAAACCACAGGGACCAUUCAUGCAAUUUACUCCAAUAAAAAGCAGCAGCAAUGCAAUGUUAGACCAUUUGUCUGCCUGCGUGCUUACGGGGGUUGUUUAUUUUUGGGAAAAUCAUUGGCCACGAAGAUGGAUUUUUGAGUAAAUAAUCGGAUCCGAACUUCAAUUUUGAACAGAGGAGGGCAACCACCCCUAUAAAUCCUUUUUCGUAAUCCCCUCUGAUAUGGCCUCAUUUCUGAGUGGAAAUUCGUUUACAGCAGAAAAACCCUAAUUUUUGGGCGUAUAUAGCCCAUGGAUGUUGUGGCUAUUAUCCCGAAUGCAAGGGAUUAAAUUUAGAGUAAUUACAGUUUUGGUCCCUCUGACUUUUUAUAUUUAUAAUCAUUUUAGUUUAUCAAAAAAAAAUUAAUUGACCAAAUUGCCUUCAAUUCUAAAACUUUUUUUCGCUAUACAUCGGAUUGACUAAAUUACCCCAGCUAUCUAACCUUUCUUUUGAUAAGUAGAUGGAGAACGACGUCUUCUAGGAUUUAUGUCUUGUGGUAAUUUUUAGAUGGGAUUUAUUUAACAACUCCAAUUGAAGCUCAAAGACUUUGUAUGGUUUUAAAAGAGAGAGAGAGAGAUUUAACUGGGAUUGCAGAAAUUGGAAACUUAGACUGCUCGGUGUGGUAUGCGGUUUGGAACCGCGGUGAUGCCACGUGGGCCACGAACACCUCCCUCAGGGUGCGGUUUGGUGCGGUCGAGACCGCAGUGCGGCCAUUGAAGACCGCGUGUGCUGAUUGGUAGCUGCCCUUUUAUCUUUUGACCGUUCAAAGAUUCGUGUAAUUUAUUAUUUUUUUUAACCAUUUACUCUCUCUCUCUCUCUCUAUAUAUAUNUAAACACAUAUAAACACAAUCAUUUCAUCCAAUUUUCUUUGAAAAAAUGUCUUCUUCCAAAAGACCUAGCAAAGAAAAAACACCAGUCAGAAACACCAACACCCUAAUACCUUCAUUUGAUCAACCGAUUUUCUCACCUCCGUAUUACCACUACGGCGGUAUGUUUCUUUGUUUUCCACAACGACCAGGGCAACCACAUCCACAAACACCACCACUACCACAACCCGACCCGGAUUUUAAUCCAUUUGAUUUUUUGUCUCAACCCAAUGUUUGUUCAACAAACACAAACACAACCAGAAACGGUCGUUUCUGAUUCCGAACCGGAAUUCGUUACAGAAACUCAGCCCACUCGAGCAACAACUAAAAGAAAAGAGAAGGCGGAGGCUAGAUGUUGGGAACCUUUGGAAGCGUUAGUGUUGGCACAAUCUUGGAUCGAUAUUUCAGAAGAUGCUACGGUUGGAAAAGACCAAAAGCAUGACCGCUUUUGGAUUCGCGUUUUACACAGGUUCCAUAAAGGAAUAAACCGUGGAGAAUACUGUUCAAAACAUCAAGUGUACUCCAAACGGGGAAAGAAGAACAAGGAAGUCAUGUUGUUUAAUGACCUGUGGAACAACAUGAAACGUCAAUGGAAAAGUGGAGAAAGUGAUGAAGUCAUUUUGAAGAAAGCGUUGAAAGUGUAUCAAAAAGAAAAUCUGAAGGCUUUCAAGUUUCUUGAAGUUUGGAAUUUUUUGAAAGAUAACAGGAAAUGGUUGAGUAGCAAAACAUAUGACCAACAUAUCGACAGUGGGUCAAAACGCAACAGAACAUCUGAGUCCGACCAUACUGCAUCAGAUGCUCGUAUUCAGUUUGACCUGAACGAAGAUGAACCUGUUCCAAUUUCACCACCUUCCCGACCAUUGGGAAGAAACAAAUCAAAAAGCAAAGGCAAAGGAAAAACGUCGGAUUUAGAUGAUUUGAAAGACAGAAUUGACAAGAUUUUGAAGAAUGCUUUUGAAAGAGAGCUUCGGAAACAAAGGGAGAGCGACAUGCGAAUACUAGCGAUGGACACGUCGAAUAUGACCGGGGCCGAACUUGAAGUGGUUUUGGCGAUGAAGGAGGAAGUUAAAAACCGUUACAUCAAUCGUGGCUAAUUUCUAGUUUUUUUUUCAAGUUUUUAAUGGUUUCUUGUAUGUUUUUUUUUAAGUUGUAGGUUUUAUGUUUCUACUUUGUUUUUCUAAAUUUUUAGGUUUUUUUUUUUAAAUUAAGUAAUGUAUGGUAUUUGUAUUUUUAAUUAAUGAAAUAUUAUGUUUUUAAAAUUAUGUUUUUUUUAUUAAAAAAAUAAGUUUUAUUAAAUUAAAAUAGUUAACAAAAAAAACAAACAAAAAUAAAUAAAUAAAUAAAAGUAAAACUGUGGCAUCACACCCUUGGUGUGGCAAGAAACCACACUUGAGUGGUAAAAAGUGAUAUGACGCUUAUAUGGCGGGGGAGGGAGUGCAGUUUCGGUGGCACCACUCCCUCCAGCCUUAGUACCAUAUUUAAGACCUCAUCAAAUGUAUCUCUCGUCAUUUAGUGCAACAAAACCCACUGAUGAUUCAUCUGCUAGUUUUUUUUAUGCUAGUUUUCUUUUUCUAAAAAUUAGAAUCCAUGUCAUACUUGUAUGUUGUAUCGGAUGUCAAUGGACAUAUAAGCUGAUAGUGACAUUUUUUUGUCAUUUUUGCAUUUUUUUUUAAAUGGUCUUGGUGUUUGUGUUUAGCACCGGCAAAGAAGAGAUAGUUGGUGAAUUUGAUUUUUAUCAUCGGUGAACAUGUAGCGCUGGUGUAUUACCGCCGGUAAAAGCUGUCAAAUCAACUUGUUGGUUGGUAAAACCACUACAACACCUCAAAACUUAGGCUACCCGAUAUGGGAGCGUUUUCACACGUCUUGGGCUGAGGUGGCAGCAUCUCCCACGCGUGAACACCGCUCCCAAGUCUAGUGGGCUGCGUGUGGUGUGAGGUUGAAGACGGACGAAGACGAGGGCUUUGAUUGGCUAAUAAAAUCCGAAUGUUGCAAUCGACCGUUAUCUUGCAUUAAUAAAAAAAAUUCAUUUUUUAUCAAAUUCUCUAUAUAUACAUCCACUUUAUUCACAAUUUCCACUAAACCACACCCACAUUUUUUCAAACAAACACACACAUCAAACCAAAAAAUGGAUAAUUUUCCACCUCCAAUUAUUUCGUCUUCCGAUGAUAACGAUUCCGAUGACGAUUUUAUUUUGUAUACGCUGUUAUCCGCGGCACGAGACGUGGUACGUGAGAGGGGCAAAAGUUCAAACGUCGACAAGAAGCAUAGAAAAUGGAUCUCUCGUCAUUUAGUGCAACAAAACCCACUGAUGAUUCAUCUGCUAGUUUUUUUAUGCUAGUUUUCUUUUUCUAAAAAUUAGAAUCCAUGUCAUACUUGUAUGUUGUAUUGUAAGUAUUUAUUAACUUAUUCUAUAUAUAUGCGGAAGCUUUCAAGACCAGAUCUUAAACUCGAAUCUGGAUAAAAGAAAAUAGGUGAAGGAGAUUGUGUACCUGCUUCCAUUGAAGCUUUUGGAUCUGAAGAACAAGCUUGGUUUUCCAGUUGAUCUCAAGACAACUCUAAGAACCCUUUGCACUUAAAAAAAACGAAUUUGUGAAUUAAUUUCGUCCACUUUGAUUUGCUCCUCAUCACAUAUAUUUAUAGAUGGAGAUAAACCCUAAUGUGAGAGAUGGAAGGGAUCUUGAGGAUCUUGAGUCAAACCGGGAACUCAAGCCACAAAUGGUAAGUGAAUAUCGGUCCAUCAACAAUCUUAUACACUUGCCAUAAUAUUUGGAUUUAAAUGAUAACAAUAUAUAUGUUCAUUUAUAGAAUGGUCCCAUGAUUUUCUAACAAUCUCCCACUGGACCAUGAAUAUAUAAAUGUACAUAUAACCAUAUUAGCGCUUUAAUGUAUGUUAUCAUGAUAUUGGUACCCUUAAACAAUCUUGUCCAUUAAUCAUAACUGUAUAGGAUCAAUGCGGUCUUUGUUACAAUUUACGUAACUAAACCAUCAAUGGUCACAUAUAUAAGUAUAACUAACGACAUAGAUUAAACAUGAUGCGUGGUCACAAAAUCAAAAUUGAUUUCCGACGAGUUCCUCUUUAACUUGAAGUGAGAUCAAACUUCAAAUAAGUGCAACUAAUAAUGAAAUUUACCGAAUUCUUAAGUCUGUACAGAAAAACAUAAUUGUUCUUAAACCAAAAUAAAGCACCCAAAAGUAAAUUGUAAAACUCCCACCAAAACAAAAUAUCAUGAAUAUUUAUCACACCCAUGUGUGUAGUAUGCUCAUGAAAGACCUUGGGAGGUAAUACCUUCGUGAGCGGAUCCGCUAUCAUGGAGUUUGUCCCGAUGUGCUCUAUUGUGAUUUUUCCAUUUUGCACUCUUUCUUUAACAAUAAGAAACUUAAUGUCAAUAUGCCUUGACUUUGUGGAACUUCUGUUGUUGUUGGAAUACAACACUGCUGACUUAUUGUCACAAUACAACUUUAAUGGUCUUUCAAUACUAAUAAUACGCAGCCCCGUGACUAAGUUCCGCAGCCAUAUUGCAUGAUCUGAUGCCUCGAAACAUGCUACAAAUUCUGCCGCCAUGGUGGAAGAAGUUACUAAAGUUUGUUUAGCACUCUUCCAUGAAAUAGCUCCUCCUGCUAAUAAGUAAAUGUAGCCUGAUGUGGAUCGAUAACUGUCUUGGCAUCCAACAAAAUCAGAAUCAAAAUACCCAAUGAUCUCCAAAACAUCUGAUUUCCUAUAUGUGAGCAUGUAGUCUUUUGUUCCCUGUAGAUAUCUCAAAACCCGUUUGGCUGCUUUCCAAUGGUCCAUACCUGGGUUGCUUAGAUAUCUUCCCAACAUCCCUUCAAUGAAAGAUAUGUCGAGACGUGUACACACUUGAGCAUACAUAAGACUCCCAACAACCGAUGCAUAAGGAAUCUUCUGCAUCUCUUUAACUUCAAGGUCAUUUUUAGGGCAUUGAUCGAGACUGAAUUUGUCUCCUUUUGAAAUAGGGGUGUCUCCUGGUUUGCAGUUUUGCAUGCCAAAUCUUUCAAGGAUCUUUUCAAUAUAGCUCUUUUGUGAUAAUCCUAGAAUUCCACGAGAUCUGUCUCGUUGAAUUUGGAUUCCUAAUACAAAUGAGGCUUCCCCAAGAUUUUUCAUCUCAAAAUGCUUCGAAAGAAAUUUCUUGGUCUCAUAUAAGACCCCUAAAUCAUUGGUGGCAAGUAAUAUAUCAUCAACAUACAAGACCAGAAAAAUAUAUUUACUCCCACUAAACUUGUGAUAUACACAAUCAUCUACUAUAUUUGCCUCAAAACCAAAUGAGACAAUGAUCUGAUGAAACUUGUGGUACCACUGGCGGGAGGCUUGCUUGAGUCCAUAGAUAGAUUUAUUUAGUUUGCAAACCAUUUCCUUUGAUUCUUUCGAUACAAAGUUUUCUGGUUGCACCAUAUAUAUAGUUUCAUCAAUGUCACCAUUGAGAAAUGUUGUCUUAACAUCCAUCUGAUGUAACUCAAGAUUGUAAUGUGCAACUAGUGCCAUGAUCAACCUAAAAGAGUCUUUUGUUGAAACUGGAGAAAAUGUCUCUUUAAAAUCAAUUCCUUCCUUUUGAGUAUAGCCCUUAGCUACAAGACGUGCCUUAUGUCUUUCCACAUUACCUUUUGAAUCCCUUUUGGUCUUAAAAAUCCAUUUGCAACCAAUAGGCUUCGUACCUUCAGGUAAUGGAACAAGAUCCCAAACUUUAUUGUCUUGCAUGGACUUAUACUCCUCGUUCAUGGCAUCAAUCCACUUUUGAGAAUUUGAACUUUGCAUGGCCUGAGAGAAGUUGAUUGGAUCAUUUUCAAUCAUUCCAUCUGGUUCUUCAUUUUCUUGGAGAUAUACAUGGAAAUCCGAAGGGAUUGCACUUCUCCUUUCUCUAGUGGAUCUCCUAAGUUGAGGUUGUUGAGGUUGUUCAUUAUGAACAGGAGAGUGAAUAACAUUGUCUUGUUGAGGUUCCUGAAUUACUUCUUCUCCGACAGGCACAUUAAUUUGUGUAUUGUCAAAAGUAACAGUAGGAAUCGAGAUUGAUUCCUCCUCAAAGACAAUGUCUCUAACCUUAUUUCUCCCCCCAAACUCAACAUCCUCAAAAAACGUUGCAGUUCCUGUUUCAAAAAUUGAUUUUGUUGCAGGAUCAUAAAACUUAUAACCCCUGGAUCGUUCAGAAUAGCCAAUGAAGUAGCUGCUAACGGUUUUGGAGUCCAAUUUCUUUUCAUUUGGCCUAUAAGGCCUUGCCUCAGCUGGACAUCCCCAGAUACGAAGAUGAGUUAAACAAGGCUUUUUCCCUGUCCAAAGCUCAUAAGGUGUUUUAACAGCUGCUUUAGUUGGUACUCUAUUAAGAAUGUAAGCUGCAGUCUUAAGUGCUUCACCCCAGAGUGGCUCUGGUAAAGUAGAAUGACUUAUCAUACUCCUUACCAUAUCCUUAAGAGUUCUGUUGCGUCUUUCAGAUACACCAUUCAUGCUAGGCGAACCUGGCAUUGUGUAUUGUGGGACGAUUCCACAUUCCUCUAGGAAUUUAGCAAAAGGUCCUGGACGUUGUUCACCUGAUCCGUCAUAUCUGCCAUAGUACUCACCACCACGGUCAGAUCUUACACAUUUAAUCUUUUUAUUAAGUUGGUUCUCAACUUCAAGUUUAAAAGAUUUAAACACUUCCAGUGACUGAGAUUUUUCAUGAAUAAGAUAUAGAUACCCAUAACGUGAGUAAUCGUCUAUGAAUGAUAUAAAAUAUUGUUGACCAUUCCAUGAAGCCGAAGGGAAUGGUCCACAAAUAUCUGUAUGUAUCAAUUCUAAGACAUCUGAAGACCUAGUGGCAUCUAAUCUUUUGGUUUUUGUCUGUUUUCCCUUGAUGCAUUCAACACAAAUUUUUAAAUCUGUGAAGUUGAGGUUACUUAACACUCCAUCUGACACAAGCCUAUCAAUUCUCAUUUUUGAGAUAUGGCCUAAGCGUUUGUGCCAUAAUGUUGCUGAAUUUUCAUUAUUUAAUUUUCGCUUAGUACCACGUGAAUCCACGUGUAAGGUUUCAUUAUAUGAAGUAACAAUAUCAAGCAUAUAUAACUUAUCACAGUACGUUAGAGAACCAGUACCGAUAAUAUUUGAAUUUAAAGACAAACUAAAUUCACCAUUUCCAAAAGAACAAUAAUAACCAGAUUUAUCGAAUUUAGAAACAGAAACCAAAUUGCGUCUAAAAGACGGUAUAAUGCAAGUUUCUUGAAAAUCCAAAUAAACACCAGUAUCUAGUAAUAAACGAAAUGUGCCAAUUGCUUUGACUUCAACCUGCUUUCCAUCACCCACAUAGAUAUAUCUUUCAACAUCAUUUGGUUUUCGGUAGUUCAGGCAACCCUGCAUAGAAACACUUAUGUGAGUAGUAGCACCAGAAUCUAUCCACCAAGUAUUUCUAGGUACAGAAACUAAAUUAACCUCGGAACAGACCAAAGCACGGAUUAUACCUUUCUUAACUCGCCAAGCGUGGUAUUUUGGACAAUCCGGCUUCAGGUGACUACGUUCUUGACAAAAGAAGCAUUUAGGAGGUCCUGAUUCCUUUUUCUUUUGAUCAUUGCCUAAAUGUUGUUUCUUUUGCACUGGUCCCUUAGUAGCAGCUUCUUUUCUCUUUCUUUUGCCCUUACCUUUAGAGGUACUAGCAAAAUGAGCACUUUCAGUUGUUUCCUGCUUCAUCCUUUCUUCUUCUUGCACACAAAAGGAAAUGAGCUCAUUAAGAGUCCAUUUAUCCCUUUGGCAGUUGUAACUGACCUUAAACUGAUUAAAUUGUGCAGGAAGAGAAAGCAAUACCAAAUGAACUAGAAAAUCAUCAGAAAUUUCUAGUUCCAAUGCCUUAAGUUUUGAAGCAAGAUGAGACAUCUCCAUGAUGUGCUCCCUUAUGUUUUCUUUGCCUUUAUACUUCAUUGAAAUCAUCUUUUGCAAAAAAAGUACUUGUUUCAGCCUUAUCAUUUUUUGCAAAACGUUGUUCAAUUUCAGCAAGAAAAUCUUUAGCAUUAAUAGACUGCUCGUUUGCACCUCUAAAGGCUUCUGGAACGCCGCGCUUAAUGAUCAUUAGACUCAUGCGAUUUGAGCGAUCCCAUUUUUCAGCAUCCCUUUUAUUUUCCACUGAACUUGUAGCAGUAAGGAUGGGUUGCUCAAUCCAAAGUGCAAGGUCAAGAUCCAUGCAGCCGAGAACUAACAUAAUGUUCUCUUUCCAUUCCUUGAAGUUAGUUCCAUUGAGAACUGGAAUGUGAUUCAAGUUGGAAGAUAUUAUACCACAAUUAGCAUUUGCUGUAUUUCAGAACAAAAUAUUAAUUAGUUUUUAUGCUCAUUAAACCAUAACUAUAAUCAAUAAAAUUCAAAUUAUGACAUCACAAGGUAUCAACACAACAUUAAUAUCAAGUCCUUGAACAACAAUAUUAACUUUUUAAGAGAUAUCUUGUUAUAGUAGUAAAAAUAUUGACAAUAAAACAUGUUAAUUAAUAAGCCCCUCUUUGGAUUGACUAAUUAAUCACAUGAAACCCAAAAAUUAUCAUAUAUUUACCACUAUAUAUAUGUAUGUUUAUCCGACCAAAUAUUAACCUACCUUUGGGUCGAUUAAUAUCCGCAUUGACAAACACAUAAACCAUAAAAUUUAAUAAUAAUAUUUGACAAUAAUUCAUCCCGUUUAACAAGCCCCUCUUUGGAUUGACUUGUUAACGACAUGUAACCAAAAAUAAUUGUCGCAUAUUCAUUAUCAUAUGCGUGUUUAUUCGGCAAAAUAUCAACCUACCUUUGGGUCGAUUGGUAUCCGCAAUAAUAAACACAUAAACCGUAAUGUCAUAACUGAAUUUAUUGAUAAACCAAAAUAAUUUCAUAUAUUAUUAACAAUGCAUAUUAGAAUUCAAAUUAUACCAUUCUAAAAUUAAACUGCAUACACAUGAAUAACAAGUGAAGAAACAAUAUAUGAAAUAACAGUUUAAACAUUAAUAAACUAACCCUACAAAAAUAAAUAAAUGGCAUAAUUUAACAGAAACUAAUAAGUGCAUCACAAAAAUUCAAUGGGCUGAAUUUAAAUAUAAUUUAAUUGUCAAAUAAUGCUUCUGUAGCAAUACGAAAAGCAAAACCAAAAUAAACAAAAUAAACAAAUACACUUUCCUUCAUCAAUUUAAAGUAUUAUCCUCAAAUUAAAUAUUAUAAUCGAGAGUGCAUACUUUCAAAAACAAAUAAACAAAUAAAAUUCCAAAAGCAAGUAUAGGUAAGUCAGCUUUGGUCAUUAAGUAAUUCGUAUACACAUUGGCAGAAAAAUAAAAUAAACAAAUCAUGGGUAGACUUUUAUGAUUGAGACAGGACGGUGAACUUUAAGUACAAUAUAUGUAUAUUCAGCAGAAAAGAAAACAUUUGUGUCAGCGAAAAGAUAUUACUUUUGACUGUUUUCAGAGAACUUAAUUAAAAGAAAAGAAAACCCAUCUCACUUUCAUAAAACACGAAGAUACAUGUUAACAAGGGUUGUUCAUUCAGCUUCAGGUAUGUUAUAGUUUAUAACAAACAAAAAAUAUAUAUAUUCUAAUAUUAGAUUCAAGAAGUCUCUGAUACCAAUUGUAAGUAUUUAUUAACUUAUUCUAUAUAUAUGCGGAAGCUUUCAAGACCGGAUCUUAAACUCGAAUCUGGAUAAAAGAAAAUAGGUGAAGGAGAUUGUGUACCUACUUCCAUUGAAGCUUUUGGAUCUGAAGAACAAGCUUGGUUUUCCAGUUGAUCUCAAGACAACUCUAAGAACCCUUUGCACUCAAGAAAAACGAAUUUGUGAAUUAAUUUCGUCCACUUUGAUUUGCUCCUCAUCACAUAUAUUUAUAGAUGGAGAUAAACCCUAAUGUGAGAGAUGGAAGGGAUCUUGAGGAUCUUGAGUCAAACCGGGAACUCAAGCCACAAAUGGUAAGUGAAUAUCGGUCCAUUAACAAUCUUAUACACCUUCCAUAAUAUUUGGAUUUAAAUGAUAACAAUAUAUAUGUUCAUUUAUAGAAUGGUCCCAUGAUUUUCUAACAUGUAUCGGAUGUCAAUGGACAUAUAAGCUGAUAGUGACAUUUUUUGUCAUUUUUGCAUUUUUUUUAAAUGGUCUUGGUGUUUGUGUUUAGCACCGGCAAAGAAGAGAUAGUUGGUGAAUUUGAUUUUUAUCAUCGGUGAACAUGUAGCGCUGGUGUAUUACCGCCGGUAAAAGCUGUCAAAUCAACUUGUUGGUUGGUAAAACCACUACAACACCUCAAAACUUAGGCUACCCGAUAUGAGAGCGUUUUCACACGUCUUGGGCUGAGGUGGCAGCAUCUCCCACGCAUGAACAUCGAUCCCAAGUCCGGUGGGCUGCGUGUGGUGUGAGGUUGAAGACGGACGAAGACGAGGGCUUUGAUUGGCUAAUAAAAUCCGAAUGUUGCAAUCGACCGUUAUCUUGCAUUAAUAAAAAAAAAUUCAUUUUUUUUCAAAUUCUCUAUAUAUACAUCCACUUUAUUCACAAUUUCCACUAAACCAUACCCACAUUUUUUCAAACAAACACACACAUCAAACCAAAAAAUGGAUAAUUUUCCACCUCCAAUUAUUUCGUCUUCCGAUGAUAACGAUUCCGAUGACGAUUUUAUUUUGUAUACGUUGUUAUCCGCGGCACGAGACGUGGUACGUGAGAGGGGCGAAAGUUCAAACGUCGACAAGAAGCAUAGAAAAUGGAUCAAUCGGGAUCGAAAGGCGGCACAUGAACUUUUGGUGCGUGAUUAUUUUGCCGUUGAUAGUUUAUAUGAUCUAUCUAAAUUCGAAGAACGUUUUCGUAUUAGUAGAACUUUAUUUUUACGUAUCGCUAGAGAUUUGGCACGUAAUUAUGAAUUUUUUCAAUUACGAUGGGAUGCUAGAGGUAAAUGCGGUUUUACCACAAUAAAAAAAUGUACGGCCGCUCUUAGACAGUUGGGAUAUGGUAUAACCGCAAACGCAUCAGAUGAGUAUCUGAAAAUGUUUGAGAGGACAGGUCGAGAGUGUACAUAUUUAUUUUGUGAGUAUGUCAUAGAGCUUUACCGUAACAUAUACUUGCGACAUCCGACUAAAAGCGAUGUCGAACAGUUGUAUGCCGCACAUCAAGCGAAACAUGGUUUUCUAGGGAUGCUUGGUAGCAUUGAUUGUACACAUUAGGAGUGGAAAAAUUGUCCCAACGCGUGGCGUGGCCAGUUCACGCGAGGUGAUCAUGAGGUGCCGACUGUUAUUUUGGAGGCGGUGGUUUUAAAUGACCUAUGGUUUUGGCAUGCAUUCUUUGGUAUGGACGGAUCAAACAAUGACUUGAAUGUGCUCCAAGCGUCUUUGAUAUUUAACGAUAUUUUACAGGGCAAAGCACCAGAAAUGUCAUAUGUUGUCAAUGAAAAUGAAUACAAAUAUGGGUAUUACCUAGGUGAUGAGAUAUAUCCAGAAUACGCUACGUUUGUCAAGUCAUACACAUUUUCGGCCGACGAUAAACGGAAAAUGUUCAAGUUAGCACAAGAAUCUGCAAGGAAGGAUGUAGAACGGGCGUUUGGAGUCCUCAAACAAAAGUGACACAUAAUCAAACAUCCGGCACGAACAUGGGACAGAGAAAAAUUGAGGACCGUGUUGACUGCUUGUGUUAUUUUACAUAACAUGAUAAUAGAAGAAGAGGACAGGGCUAUUUACUCAUAUACCACAAACGAUAUACUUAACCCACCCGUAAUAAUACAAGUUGGGAGUCUGGCAUACUUCUCAAAGGUUUUGAAAAUACAAAACCGUGAAACACGUCACAAUCUACGACAUGAUUUGACCGAAUACAUAUGGGAACGACAAUUUCAAGGGCAAAAUGACGGUGAAGACGACGAUGAUGACAAUGGUGUCGAUGGUGACGAUGAGGAGGAUGACGAUGGCGGAGACGAGGCGAAUGAUACCGGUGACGACAACGACGACGAUUAGAAUUUUCCUAUGUUUUUUAUGUUUUUUAAUUUUUAUUUUAUUUAGACAACGUAAUGUUAUUUUUCUAUGUUUUUUUUUGUGUUUUUUAAAUUUUAUUUUAUUUAGACAAUGUAAUGUUUAAUUUUACUAAUUUAAGUUUUAAAUUUCUAUGUUUUAUUUAAUGAAAUGUGCUCUUAUUUUUUUAUGUUUUAAUAAAUUAAUGUCGGUCUUCUUGGUGUGGCGUGGAUCGGAAGACGGAUGAAGACGGAGCUUCCUAUUGAUUGCUUCUUUUUUGCCCCCUAUUUCUGGUGGUUUUGCUUUUAAUCCAUCGAAUUAGAAAAAAAAGGGAAGAAGAAAGAGAUUGACCCGUUUUACAGAGAAAUCGGGCGAAGACAACCGGAUGCACAUUUUAUAUGUUUUAAUUCAAAUUACAAUAAGUUUUUUUUAAAUUUAAUCUAAUGUUUUAAAAUUAAAAAAAUAAAAAAUAAAUAUUGUUAGUGGUGACCAUUUUCAAGGUUUAGUGGGUUGGUGGUGGGUUGGGUGUGAAGCUGACAUGACGUAUAGGUGGCAACAUUUUUCCGGUGGGAUGAGUGUAACCACUCCCCAUAGCCUUAAGUGGGUUUGAUAAUUAGGGAUAAUUUGCUUAAUCCAAUAUAUCACCGAAAGGAUUUAAAAUUCAAGGGUGGUUUGCUCCAUUAGUGUUGUUUGAUAAAUUAAAAUGAUUAUAAAAUAUAAAAAUUGAUUAAAAUAGUUUAAAAAGUAUUAAAAAAUUUAUUUCGAUAAAUAUGAUAUUUUGAUAGUUAAGAAGGGUAAAUAUUAUUUUUAAAUUUUAGGUUGCAUAAAUAUAACAUUUUGAAAUUUAUGAUGGGUAUAUACGAAAUUCUUCCAAUUUUUUAUAUGGCUUAUUUAUGUGGUUUCUGAAAGUUGCCUCCAUAGUCCGUGAUAAAAUGCUUUCUUGGAUACGUUUGAAAUGACAAAAAUUUCCUCGCAUGUCUUUUUUUUUUUUUUUUUUUCCUUUUUUAAUUUAAUUUUUAAAUAAAAUGACAAUUACACAUAAUCCCACUAAUACCGACACGACAUACCAACAGCCGAAAAAAAGAACCCAAGAAGCUCAACCUUUAACCACCACUAAAUCAACAAUCAACACCACUACCAUCACAUCUCCCACUGUACAGAUACUCUUUAAAAAGUUGAAAAAUAAAUAAAUAAAUAAAAAUAGGACAACUUUAUAUAAAAAAAUUCAUACCAAAUUUGUAACAAAAAUUAAAAUUUGGGUUAAAGCUGUAAAUAUAUAAAUAAGCUAGCAAACUUAUAAUAAACUUCAAAACACAUAAAAUCUAAGUUUGUUGGCUACUUAACAACCAUUUGUUUAAUAAAACUAGUUAUAACCUAACAAGAAUCCAACCACGAUUGUUAAGUUAAGUUUUGAUCUAAAAACUUACGAUUUUAACAUCCAAUUCAUAUUGAAAUGAAGCUUUCUUAUUUUAUCAUCGAUUUCUUAAUUAAUAUCAAGUUAGAAGAAAACUUAGAUGGUAUUUGUUUUCUGCAAAAGCUCUUCAUGACCGCUUAUGUCUAUGUCGCGCAAACAACACACCAACAUUUGGCCAGCAAACUGUUUGGUUUUUAGAAAAUCACAUACCUAAAAUAAAUCUACACGGUUGCAUCAUCUUUCUUGGCACAUAUAAAAACCUAUGUCUUCUAGGCAUUUCUAGCCUCUUUUUAUAUCAUUAGUUUUAUUGCCACAAAAGACCGUAAACUUCAUAAUCAAUUUUUUAUAUUUUGUUUUCAAUGAAUAUCUUUUAAUAACCAUUUUUUACAAUGAAUAUCUUUUAUCAAUGGUUAUAUACAACUUAUUGGUGGUUUAUACAUCAAAAAAAUUAAGAUGUAAUUAUAACAAGUUUAUUUAUAUUUUCAAUUCACUUUAGCAGGUUACAAAUGUUAAAAAACAAAGUCUUUUUCUUAUAGACUACAUACUACAUAUGUUAGAUUUCAGGCGUUAAAAAACAAACACCUUAACACCAAAUAAGAACCAAGCAACAACACAUACAUUACAAUAAAUAAUGAAACGUAUAUUAUAUUUAUUAACAAUUAACAAUUACAUAACAUUUUUUGGAAAAAAGAUGAAUGAAGUAAUAUACAUUUGAAUUUGUGUCGUCGUGAUUAACAUGUUGAAUUGAUGAAUUGAAAUGGUUAAAUAGUGAUUAAUUCUCGGAAUGGUUAAGUCAAUAUAAAUUCAAGCCUAAAACUGAUCUUAGUAGCAAAUAAAGCUAAAGAAGAUAAAAGUAUCAUACAUUAUACAUUGUUUUUUAAGUUGUCUAUACAAUAAACCAAAUACCAAAGUGAUGUUUAACGGAAUAUCAGGAGUACAGAUCACAAAGCAAUUUGAUAAAUUUAUGUGGCAAUAUGUUAGUUCAAAGAUCACAAAGUAAUUUGAUUCCUUCUCGUUCAAAAUUGCUUAAAAAAAAGGCAAAGUUGUGUGAUUUAGCAUCCUACUUGCAUCUGAGAUUUUUACAUCUUACUUUAAUUUAAUAUAUUCAAGUGUUGUAAUUUGAUAAAUUUAUGUGGCAAUAUGUUAGUUCAAAGAUUAAAAAAUCACUUAUAUAUGAUGCAAAUAACAUAACACCUUUUAUUGAUUUAGUUGAAUGGGAUCCAAAAGCUAGAAUCUUUCAUUCAAUGAAUCUGAGUUAGCAAACUAUACAAUUAAUACAAACUUUAAUAUUAGUAGGUAUAUUAAAUUAAAGUUUUACGAAAGUAAUGAAAAACUAUAUAUAUACGAGUUUUAGGUAUAAAAAAACAUAAACAGUGACAAGUCUUAUAAAACUACAUAUAUGGUUGCACAAUCUUGUAGUUAGAUAUAUCAUAUAUGUUUUCCGGUAACUUUCUUAACACAGUUGGUAUAAGAGUAAAACACACAAAUAAAUUUAGCAAAGAGUCUUCAUGCUCAAUACGACUUAAUCAACUAUAUUGUGAGAGUAUAUAAAGAAUUUUCUUGUUAUCUUUGAGCACCCAGAUUGUUUAUUUAAAAUGAAUUUAAAUAAAUAAAUAAUAACUAACAAAAAACUUUAUAACAACUUUAGUAACUUGUUUCAAAAUAAAACGAUUUCUUUAAUUUCACUGUCACUAAAUACGAAAUAGCAGUCACUAUCACAACGUAUCAUAUAGAUAGCUUGUCGCUAUUUACCCUUGUUCGCUAUCAACAACUAUGUCUAAAUCGUAGUAUGAGCAUGAUGAUUUUUUAAUUCAUUAUGUAAAGAAUGUGGAUGACAUAUUAAAACUAUUAUAUACUAAUGUUAUUAUAUAAUACCAACUAUGCUAAAAAAGCUACCAAGAACAUGCAUUUAACAAUCAAAUGGAGAGUAAUUCAAAUGUGAGAUGCUCCAAAGUUAUUAACAUUUUAAUUUUAAUUUCAACAAUUGAUAAGUUUUUAGCCUGUUGAAAAAUCUAUUAGCUUUUCUUUUAACAGAAUUAAAAACGUAUACAUUUUUAAUAAGAUAAUUUAUAUUCAAUCGUAAACAAAAUCGUUCCAUAACAAGAAAAAACAACAGUUAAUGUAUGCAAUGUGAAAUAUCUACAAUCACACAUUUCCACUUGGCAUAGUUAUUGUCUCAAAAUCUGAACGAAAUGAAAGACAUGACAAUGUUAGGUUGGAAAACAUACUUCAUUAUUUUGAUAAUCUCACCAUUUAUUUGCAUCGACAUUGUCGGUAGUAAUAAACACUCUAACCCAUUGGUUUUAAAUGAGAACCUAAAUAGCCAACAAACGAUUUCCAGUUUGAGAAAAAAAAAUCCAAUUUCUCACAUUUGAUAAGUUUCAAUACAUACAACUUGAAAUCAUUAUUUAUAAAAGGUCAAAACAUCAUUACAUAUUCUUUCGAAUACCCAUCAAAUCGCAAAACCCGAUAGUUUGACAAUAAAAUGUAACCCACACCUCUACUUAUGAUUGUUUCAUCCAAAACGGGAUUAACAUAAGAUGGUAACUAGAUAUUACGGAGCUCCAUUCAUUCCCAUAUAAUGGAAUCAAAUAAUUCUAGCUGAUAUUUAUCAUAAUCCACCUAAUCCUUUUUCAAUUUAUUAUAAAAAACAUAAAAAUCAUAAAACCAACUAAGAAAACAUAGAUAACUAUAAUACAUACAGACUUAUGAUGACUCUUCAUAUGUUAAUUGAAAGAUCUUGAAAUGUAGCGGCCUCGGACACAUAACUUUCAUAACACACUUUAUUGUAAUGUAAUAGACAAUUGGGUUAGAUAAUGAUUUGGCAUCGAUACUUGUUGGUUUACAAACAAAUAAGAACUUUUAUUGAUAUUCAUUUCGAUUAUCACAUUCACCAAGAGCGAGUCUGGGCAUAGAAGAUGCUAAAAUUCCAACUUUGGUAGAAAAUUAAAAUAAAAAGUCUUCGUACCACAUGACGGUAGAAACUACGUUUUAUAGUUCUCCAUGUUUUUUUGUUAUAUAGUAACACAAAAAACGACAUUAUAUUUUCGUUUGUAAGAUCAAGUACAUGAGUGUUGUACAUUAGUUUUUUAACAUAUUGACUUGUACAACGUAAAAUAUCAAACGACUUUACUAAUGUUCUUAAAACAAUUUCAAUGGACAGCUCAUACUCCAAUGAUGACAACUAUAAAACAAUAAAGAUAAUCAAACAUUGUACAAGAACACCCACAAAGGAUACUUUCAUGAAUUUCAUUUACUCCUAUAGGAAGAUUAAAGUAUUUUUUAUGUUUUAAUUUGGUUUAUAGCGUAUUCUUAGUUAGUAUAAUAUCUAAAACCUUAGUUUAUAUUUAAUUUUCAAUUGGCGCUUGUAUGUUUUCUAUCAUCUUUGUUUAAGCGUUUAAUCUUUUUUUGUUGUGAAUCUUUUUAUGUUUGUUUUUUGUUAUGUUACUUAUAUUGGCAUAUUUGUACAAUGUUUGAUUAUUUUUUAUUGGUUUACAAUUAUCAUCAUUAGAAUCUAAGUUGUACACUGAAUUGUUUCAAAAACAUCAUUAUAGACAUUUGAUAUUUUACAUUGUACAAGUAAAUAUGUUGAAAAACUAACAUACACCACCAUGUACUUGAUCUUUAAAAACGAAAACUAACAUACAAUACCCAUGCACUAGAUCUUUACAAACGAAAAAACAAUGUCGUUUUUGGUGUAUUCUUCAACGAAAAAAACAUGGAGAACUAUAGAGCGUAGAUUAUAUGUGUAACGAAGAUUUUUUACUUUGAUUUUCUACCAAAGUCAUGUAUAACUUUAGCAUCUUCAUUGCACGAACACAUUGGUGAAAUGUGAUAACCAAAAUGUUGCUAUAUUUGUUUGUAAACCAACAAUUAUUGAUGUCAAAUCAUUAUCUAAUCUAAUUGUCUAAUACGUUACAAUAAAGGUUGCUAUAUUAGUUAUGCGUUAGAACCUGUUACAUUUCAAGAUCAUUCCAUUAUCAUACACAAAAGUCAUUGUAAGUUUGUAUAUGUAUUGCAAUUACCUAUGUUUUUUUAGUUAGUUUUAUAACUUUUAUGUUUUUUUAUAAUGAAUUGAUAAAUGAUCAUGUGGUCUAUGAUAACUUUCAACUACAAUUAUUUACUUCACUAUAUAAAAAUGGAUAUAGCUUCGUAAUAUCCAAUUACCAUCUUCUGUUUAUCUCGUUUCGGAUGAAACAAUUAUAAGUAGAGAUGUGGUUUACAUUUUAUUGUCAAAUUAUCAAAUUUUGUGAUUCGAUGCAUAUUCAAAAGAAUAUGUAAAAUGAUGUUUUUGACUUUCUAUAAAUAAUGAUUUCAAGUUGUAUCAAGGCUUAUCAAGUGCGAAGGAAAUUGGAUUUUUUUUCUCAAACAGGAGAUCGUUUGUAAGCUAUUUGUUUAGAGGAAAUAUAUUAAGUAUGUUGUUCCGACCCAACGUUGUCAUGAUGUCUUCUCAUUUCGUUUAUAUUUUGAGACAAUAACUAUGCCCAGUAGAAAUGUAUGAUUGUAGAUAUUUCAUAUUGCAAUCAUUAACAAUUGAUUUUUUAUAAGAAACUAUUUUAUUUAAUAUUGAAUACUUUGUUUUGAUAUAAUUUAUGGUUUAAUCAUCAAAUUCUGUUGUUUUAUGUAUGAUUUUUAUUUAAUAUAUGUUUUGAAAAUUUUAAUAAAAUCAUUUUAAAACAUUAAUAUAAAAUUACUUUUUAUAUCUAAUUCUUUAUAUAUAUAUAUAUAUAUAUAUAUCUACAUAUUAUAUCUUAAACNNNNNNNNNNNNNNNNNNNNNNNNNAUUUAAAUAGAGACGUUAAAUUUUAAAUGCAUCAAAUCUUGAUACAAAAUUACAUAUAAACUGAUUAUGUAAAAAAGUUCAAAUUAAUCAAUUUUAUGUCAAAAGUUAUAUUUUUUAUUAUGAAACUUGUUUUGGUAAAUUUAUUAAAAGUAAAGCAAGUAAAUUUAUUGUAUCUUAAAAAAAACAGCCUAUAUAUUUGGAAAUCAACAAAUCAACAACAAACAUUUAUUUGUUGAAGAAUCUAAUUCAAUCGAGUUUUCUAAUUUUACAGUUGUGAUUAUGGUAAUACUAUUAGCAACAUACUUUGAGAUUUAUUUUAGGGAUAUUUACCCAAGUUGAUGACCAAAAUAAGCUCUGGAUACCGGAGAUUGAAAAAUAAAUUCGACCUACUUUUAAAAACACUCUUUGAUAUUUGGAUUUGAAUUUUGCACAAAAAAUAAUCAUGCUUUAAAACUUUUUUUUUAAUUUAUUAGUUUACAUAGAUUUGGUUUAGUAUUUAAUGAUUUGCUUAAUAUUUUACUAUUUUUAUGAAUUGGUUUAAUUAGAGUUACUUUUCUUUCAUUUUUGGUUACUUUUUAAAUUGAUUUGUACUUCGAUGAUAAUUUACCACAUAAAUUUAUCAAAAAUACAAUAGGCAAAUAAAGAGUAAAUUACUGAAAUCGUCCCCUAUGGUUUGGUGAAAAUUUCACGUUUGGUCCCUAACUUUUCUUUUGCACUCGGAUCGUCCCUAUGGUUUGAUUUUGUUGCGUUUUUCGUCUCUUGCAUACAUAAAAUUAGAGACCAAAUGUGAAAUUUUGACCAAACCAUAGGGACAAUUUUAGUAACUUACUCUAAAUUAAAAUAUGAUGUUGGAAUUAAAAAAAAAAAAAAAAAAGAAGUCAAUGCAAAUAAGAUACAAUUUCACACACCUUUGCAUUUCCUCCUAAAACGAGGAGAAAACAAUUGCAUUCUUUGCUUAUACCUAAAGAGAUUACCCCUAAAGAAAUUGUCCCUAUAAAUAGUCAUUAUUAAUUACAAAAACGGUCCCUAUAAAAAAAAAUAAUCUUUGAUCUAACUAGGACAAUAAAAACAUAAAUGGUCCCUAUAAAUGUUUUUCAAUAUUUGGUCUAACGGGGACAAAACAUAAAUCCAAGAAAAAAUUAUAGUAAACUAGUGUAAAAUAGUAAAAGUAUUUAUUUGUUUCCAGAAAAUAGUCCCAUGAGCUUCAUUGUACAAAAAAAAUUUUAAUUUUCGAUAUCAUCUUAAAAUAACAAAAAAAAAAUGUAAUUUUUAAAAGUACGAUGCUAUUAAUGAAUUUUUAAAAAUAAUCCGAAAAAAAUAAAGCUUUCAAUGCACAACACAACACAAACACCAAACAUACAUUAUGCAAUAAUUUUGUUUUGAAAACACAUCACAAUAGACAACACACACUUAACAUACAUCAUGCAUAAACAAUAAAAACACAGGGAAUGAUUAAUCAAAAAAGUAUGAAAACUAACCUGACAUUCUGUUCUUUGUUGUAGAGACAAACGUAUUUUGGAGCUGUAUACAAAAUACAAAGUUAAUGAAAACAUAUUUAUAAGAGAUUAAGAUUUUAUGGAUACAUCGAUUCCACUUUUAAGAUUUUAGGAAAAUAACAAAAAACGAAUGGUAGUAACCAGAAAUUAAACCGAAAUCAACUUGUUUGAUUUCACAAUCAAAGAUUGUGAUUAAAAUUCACAAUAUUGUGAUUAAAAAUUUAAAAACAAUAUCGAGAUAAUCCAAUAAAAGUCAAGAUGAAAUCAAAUCGUAAUAAUCUUUUACAAAAUCCAAAAAGUGAAUUUACAUAGAUGUGAUAUGUUAAACAAAAUUUGAAACCCUAGAGCAUGCUAAAAUCAUUAGAACAUCUCAAAACGAGGAAUCAAACUAAUAAACGAAGAAAAAAAAAAACUCAGGAAUAUCACAAAAAGUUAAAAAUAAGAUAAGUGAUUUCACAUACUUUGAAGUGUGUAUUUAUCGGAGGCUCAGAUCUGUUUUACGAUCGGAACAAGAGGAUUAAACCGCCAUGGCUGCAAAUACAGAGGUUGCAUUCUCACAAUCGCCGUCCUCCGAUUAUAUGCCCUGCCAAGCUGCGGAUAAUCUCAAAUCAUGUCCCGAUUUGACUCAGAUCACUUUUAAUCAUCAUAGCCUCUGGGUUUAGGGGUGUUUGGAUGGGGAAUUGCAUGUCAUAACUUCAACGAUCUUUCUCUGUCUCUCUCUAUAUAUACAUACACAUACAUACAUACGAAUAUAUAUAAAUAUAUACAUAUAUAUAUCAGAGGGUUGUUGGAGUUUGAAAGAAAACAAUGGAAAUCAUCGGCAUGGAGAGGCGGCAACCACCCUCAGAAACCCUUGUUCCUCUCACUGCCUCAUUCUCAUACUCUGAGUCGUAAAACAAAUAUCCCUAAUCGUCAGCCGGUUACUCUAUAU
rnacentral:lncRNA from 1 species